rnacentral:rRNA from 1 species
UGCCUACGGGAGGCAGCAGUGGGGAAUAUUGCACAAUGGGGGAAACCCUGAUGCAGCGACGCCGCGUGAGUGACGAAGUAUUUCGGUAUGUAAAGCUCUAUCAGCAGGGAAGAAAAUGACGGUACCUGACUAAGAAGCCCCGGCUAACUACGUGCCAGCAGCCGCGGUAAUACGUAGGGGGAAAGCGUUAUCCGGAUUUACUGGGUGUAAAGGGAGCGUAGACGGCAGAGCGAGUCUGAAGUGAAAGCACGCGGCCAAACUGCGGGACUGCUUUGGAAACUGCACGGCUAGAGUGCUGGAGAGGG